rnacentral:lncRNA from 1 species
UCAAUUUUUCACAAUAGUCUUCAAUCAAGACACUCUUAAGUUUUGACCCGUCUUGCUUCUCAAGCCAAAUGAUAUCCAUGGUAUCCAGGAUUUGACAUGCAUUAAAAAGAAAGGUAACCUCAUUGUAAAUCCCAGAUAUGCUGAACACUUUUCCCACUUCAUGAUCUAUGCCUCUGAUGCAAAAUGAAAACAUCAUGUCCUAAAUGCUUUUUCAGAUAAACUUGGAACUAAAGAGUCUCAGUUUCUGCAGACC